GACAGAGGUGCCGAGCGUUAGGCGGAAUCACUGGGCUUAAAGCGUGUGUAGGCGGGCCGUUAAGUAUCUUGUGAAAUCCCCCGGCUCAACCGGGGAAUGGCUGGAUAUACUGGCGGUCUUGAGCAGUCUAGGGGCAGAUGGAACAAGUGGUGGAGCGGUGAAAUGCGUAGAUAUCGGGAGGAACACCUGUGGCGAAAGCGGCUCACUGGACCACAACUGACGCUGAGGCGCGAAAGCUAGGGGAGCAAACAGG
rnacentral:rRNA from 1 species